GUGAAUCAUCAAAUUUUUGAACGCAAAUUGCACUUUCUGGUAUUCCGGAGAGUAUGCCUGUUUGAGGGUCAGUUAAAUAAAAAUCGGGGUUGUUGCUACCUUUCGUGGUGACGCUUCGGAUUUGGGUCGUCUUACCUUCUCGGAAGCGUGUUAAAAUUUUUUCAUGAGUUUCGUACGUGUUUAUAUCUCUUUUUGACAUGUGAUUGA
rnacentral:misc_RNA from 1 species